UACGUAGGCAGCAAGCGUUGUUCGGAAUUACUGGGCGUAAAGCGUGCGCAGGCGGUUCGUUGUGUCGGCGGUGAAAGCCCCGGGCUCAACCUGGGAAUGGCCGUUGAAACUGGCGAACUGGAGUGUGGCAGAGGGGGGUGGAAUUCCGCGUGUAGCAGUGAAAUGCGUAGAGAUGCGGAGGAACACCGAUGGCGAAGGCAGCCCCCCUGGGCUGACACUGACGCUCAGGCACGAAAGCGUGGGGAGCAAACAGG
rnacentral:rRNA from 1 species